rnacentral:rRNA from 1 species
AUGAGUUUCACUGGCUGUAGAUUAGAUCGUGAAAAUGAUUUGACGAUUGAGAGGCUAGGGGAGCACAAGAACCGGGUGCUCUCGGCGACUGACAACUGGCAAGCAGUUGAGGUAGCCAGGAGCCAUCCAUCAGAAAAGAAAAUUGAUACGUGGGAGGACCCUGGGUGGCGGGAUGCCCAUCAGGUGGUUGCUGUGGGAAAUGACAGUGCUCAGUCGACACAGGAUGACAUGAUAAAGGAAGUUGUUAGCACCGACAGACGAGCAGAUGGCUUUCGUGAUCCCGGCGAUAGCAAGGUAGCUGAAGAGCAGGAUGGACAAGGGAUGGAUGAAAAAGAGUUGCAGGAUGCAACUGAGCUAGAGCACAAAGAUGGAUCUGGUGCAUCAGAGAAUAACAUUGCUGGAGCUCAUACUACUGCAAACCUGACAUCGUCUUUGGAAAAGGAAAGCGCUGCUGAUACAUUAUCUGAUCAUGAUAGUAUCAAUGCUGAUCUCGCCACAUCAGCAAGUGGCACUGGUCAUUCCGCAACUUCCCCAGAUGCUACAAUCCGCAUUAUCAAGGACCAAUUGAUAAGAGCAAAGACAUAA